AACGCACAUUGCGCCUUCUGGUAUUCCGGGAGGCAUGCCUGUCUGAGCGUCAUGAACACCCCCUCGGGAAGGACUUUGCGGUCCUUCGCGGUCAUGGGUCCCGGUCCGCCCUGGCGCGGCCGAGUCCUCGAAUCGGCGAGUUUGCGAGCCUGCCCCUCCGGGUCUCAAAGCGUAGUAAAAUCUUUGCCAUCGCUUGGCCUGGGCGCGACGCGGUUCCGCCUCGAACACACUCUCACGAGUCUUGACCUCAGAUCAGACAAGGAUACCCGCUGAACUUAA
rnacentral:misc_RNA from 3 species